GGCGAUCUCCUGACGUCAUAGGCGCGCCGGAGCGUUUGCACAGCGGAGCCGGGGGCGGAAGUGCUCUCCGCGGAAGUGAUAAUUGCGCGAGUCGUGGGUGGGAUGACCGCGGGUCAGCUCCUUCGAAGGCUGUUGCGAACACCUUCCAGUUCCAUGGCUCAGAGCCGAAUCGGUGGCGUGUCCCCCUCCAGGGGCAUGCACGCGAAGCGCGGGCCUCGAAAGCUCUCCAUCGAAGGAAAUAUUGCUGUGGGAAAGUCCACCUUUGUGAAGUUACUCACGGAAACUUACCCAGAGUGGCACAUAGCUACAGAACCUGUAGCAACAUGGCAGAAUGUCCAGGCCGCUGGCACCCAAAAAGCCUACACUGCUCCAAAUCUUGGAAACUUGCUGGAUAUGAUGUACCAGGAACCAGCACGAUGGUCCUACACAUUCCAGACAUGUUCUUUUAUGAGCCGCCUAAAAGUACAGCUGGAGCCCUUUCCCGAGAAACAAUUACAGUCCAAGAAGGCGGUACAGAUCUUUGAGAGGUCCGUGUACAGUGACAGGUUUGCUGGAAGAGACUACACCACAGGGCCAGGGAAGAGGAGAAAGGAAUUGAGCUGGCAUAUCUCGAGCAGCUUCACAGUCAACACGAAGCCUGGCUUGUUCACAAGACAACCAGGUAAGCAGAGAAGAGGGCAGCACCACACAGACACCUGCCUCCCUACAAGCCAGUUGCCCAAACAUGAGUUCAGCACGCAGCCCCAUAAGAAGGUUGAGAAUGUACCGAGUGGUUGGAAAUGCCAAGCAUUAUCCAACUCAGAAACUUAAAUGUUAGAUGUAAUCUAUAUGCUAAGAGACUUUUUAUUAGAUUCUGUUUCUCACCUUUUUUGUUUUUUAACAUUACCCUAGAUUGAACAUUGUGAUUGAGGAUAGUGAUAUAGUUAGCUCAGGGUGAAGGUCUGAAAAUUUCUGGAGAAAUUGUCCUUCUUACUAAGUUGACAGUCCUAGUUUUGGCCUUUCCUUCCUUCGGGCUCGGCAUGCUGUCCACUGGAAACGUGUAGGGCUCUGACCUUCCGUAUCCAUUUCAAGACUAAAGAGAAAUUUCAGCCUUCCUCUUUCUGGCCAACUUUAUUAAACUCGUUUUCAAAUUGCUAUUUACAUGCCAUUUCAUUGAGAAGCCAUGUGACUUUAGAUCUCUUCUAUGGAUUACUAAGACUUGGUGAGUAUGUGAAGGUUGGCUCAGCUUUCUUUUUUCUGUCCCCUAAAACGUUCAUGCUUCUUACAAGGCUCCACUUUGAGGCUCUGCUGAACAUUCCAGUGCUGGUAUUGGAUGUCAAUGAUGAUUUUUCUGAAGAAGAAACCAAACAAGAAGAACUCUUGAAAAAGGUAAACACCUUUGUAAAUAAUCUGUAACCAGUCCCGGGAUGUUCUGGCUCUCUGAGUUUCUAAAGCUGGAAAAAUCCCAAGUCAUGCACCUUUCCAUCGCCUUUUGCCCCUAGAGUGCUCUGACACUCAGGUGCAUGGUUUGGGUUAGCCUUCGACUUUGCAGUUACUGUCUUUUAUGUCUCAGAGGCUUCUAAAAUAAAGUGGAAGUUUUGCUUAUUCUGUUAA